rnacentral:rRNA from 1 species
GCUCAGCCGGGGAGGGCCAUUGGAAACUGGGGAACUUGAGUGCAGAAGAGGAGAGUGGAAUUCCACGUGUAGCGGUGAAAUGCGUAGAGAUGUAGAGGAACACCAGUGGCGAAGGCGACUCUCUGGUCUGUAACUGACGCUGAGGCGCGAAAGCGUGGGGAGCGAACAGGAUUAGAUACCCUGGUAGUCCACGCCGUAAACGAUGAGUGCUAAGUGUUAGAGGGUUUCCGCCCUUUAGUGCUGCAGCAAACGCAUUAAGCACUCCGCCUGGGGAGUACGGUCGCAAGACUGAAACUCAAAGGAAUUGACGGGGGCCCGCACAAGCGGUGGAGCGUGUGGUUUAAUUCGAAGCAACGCGAAGAACCUUACCAGGUCUUGACAUCCUCUGACAACCCUAGAGAUAGGGCUUCCCCUUCGGGGGCAGAGUGACAGGUGGUGCAUGGUUGUCGUCAGCUCGUGUCGUGAGAUGUUGGGUUAAGUCCCGCAACGAGCGCAACCCUUGAUCUUAGUUGCCAGCAUUCAGUUGGGCACUCUAAGGUGACUGCCGGUGACAAACCGGAGGAAGGUGGGGAUGACGUCAAAUCAUCAUGCCCCUUAUGACCUGGGCUACACACGUGCUACAAUGGGCAGAACAAAG